CGCGGCCUAUCAGCUUGUUGGUGGGGUGAUGGCCUACCAAGGCGACGACGGGUAGCCGGCCUGAGAGGGUGUCCGGCCACACUGGGACUGAGAUACGGCCCAGACUCCUACGGGAGGUAGCAGUGGGGAAUAUUGCACAAUGGGCGCAAGCCUGAUGCAGCGACGCCGCGUGGGGGAUGACGGCCUUCGGGUUGUAAACCUCUUUCACCAUCGGCGAAGCCCAUAGCUUGCGUUGUGGGUGACGGUAGGUGGAGAAGAAGCACCGGCCAACUACGUGCCAGCAGCCGCGGUAAUACGUAGGGUGCGAGCGUUGUCCGGAAUUACUGGGCGUAAAGAGCUCGUAGGUGGUUUGUCGCGUUGUCCGUGAAAUUCCCUGGCUUAACUGGGGGCGUGCGGGCGAUACGGGCAGACUGGAGUACUGCAGGGGAGACUGGAAUUCCUGGUGUAGCGGUGGAAUGCGCAGAUAUCAGGAGGAACACCGGUGGCGAAGGCGGGUCUCUGGGCAGUAACUGACGCUGAGGAGCGAAAGCGUGGGGAGCGAACAGGAUUAGAUACCCUGGUAGUCCACGCCGUAAACGGUGGGUACUAGGUG
rnacentral:rRNA from 1 species